rnacentral:lncRNA from 1 species
AGUGACUCGGGAUGCAAGCAGCAUCUGUGACCCGCACCACAGCUUAUGGCAGUGCCGGAUCCCCGACGCACUGAGAGAGGCCAGGGAUCAAGCCCACAUCCUCAUGGAUACUAGUCGGAUUCAUUGCUGCGCCACCACAACAGGAACUCCCAAAAGGACUAUUUUGAUGAAUGUUCCUUUACUUCACAUUAAAUGUAAACUAGAGACUUUCUUGAUUUUGGAACAGAAGUAUUAUAUAGUAUUUUAGACUGGAUAUUUUAUUUUAUAGUGAUUUUUUUUUAGUUCUACUGAAUAUGAAUGAGUGAGUAUGCUCAAAGUCAAAGCUAAGGUUGAGGUUGUAAUUUUGGCAGGAGAAAAUUACAUACUGAAUGGAAAAGAGUAUCUGAAGUUUCCAUGUGUUCCUCAGUACUUAGCACUUUUUACCUGGAUAUAAAAGCUAUGGCAACAGGAUUCAGUACAUGUCCAUGUGUUAGUAUUAUUAUCCAUUUAAUAUAUAUUAAAUGAGCAGGUUUUUUAAAAAGAAACAACAGUAAUGUUUUAAUGACAGCUAACCUUGCUACUUCCAAACAAAAGGAGUAUAUGUAAGAAUACUAAAACUGUGUAGUAUUAGCAUUCAAUAGGUUUCUAAAAGGAGAAAGCUAAACUCUAACUCAGUCAUUCAGUUGUGCUUCAGCGACUCUACCACUAAAUUAUCAGCUUCAUAAAAACAGGAGCCUUGGCUAUCUUUUUCACCUCUGAAAGGCUGAGCAUGUAGCACAUGGUAGGUAUUCAGCAAUCUUUAAAAGUUUCUUUGAGUUGAAUCACAGGGAAUAAUGAAGAUUGUCCCUCACAAACUAUUUUGUAAGGAAAAAAAAAACCUGAGAAACAAAUAAACUUACAAUUUUAUUUUUAAAACAACUAAAAUUUUGCACCUUAGUCUAAGCCAUUUGACUUUGUUUUUGUCCUUUUAGGGCCACACCCAUGGCAUAUGCAAGUUCACAGGUUAGGGGUCGAAUGGGAGCUACACUGCUGGCCCACGCGGCAGCCACAGCCACGUCAGCGCCAGAUCCAGGCCACGUCUUUUGAUCUACACCACAGCUCAAGGCAACACCAGAUCCUUAACCUACUGAGCGAGGCCAGGGAUUGAACCUGAGUCCACUGAGGCAUAACGGGAACUCCCUUAUGAUUUUUUAAAAGAAAGACAUUAUCUCUUGUUUAGGCUAGAUUAUGGCUAGAUAGGUUGUAUUUACACUGCUUCAACAACUAACAUAUGUAAGUGCUUAAUAAAUGUUUGUCACUUAAUAAAAGGGACAAAACCACAUCAAUGAAACAUCUCAGUUACCCACAGUGAGGCUGAAAUGGUCAGAAUGCAAUGAGUGACUUGCCUAAUAACUGCAAAAAACCGCAGAGGUGACAAAAUAAAAAGGCUAAUUAAAAAAUGGACCUGGCAAAAGAGAAAACUGUAGUCAAAGCUCUCUUCCCAGCGGACUGUACGCCUACACACACACACACACACACACGAACACACAUGGUCACUGCCUUUUAUGAGCUUUCCUGUUCAUUUUCAAAAACUAUAAACAAUAGUAGAUUUGAAAUGAGUCUAGUAGUUUCUGUGUUGAAAUUUCUCCUCGUUUAUAAUCUUUCCACUUUGCUAGUAGCUUCCAGGCACAAUUUCCCUUCUCAUCUGUAGUGAGCACAGUUCCUUUAAAGAAUAAGCUCAGAGUGGUGAGCACGUGCAGAGAAGACUGACUCUCACCCUGCAAGGUAAAAACAACUCUCCUCUAAAAGAUUAUUCAUAAGUGGUCAGGAUUACUCUUUAACAAUGGCUGUUCUAUGUUUCCUACACACUGUACCUUUUAUGACAACAAUCUCUAAGUAAUAGAGCAUGAAAAAUAAAAAGAGGCUGAGCUUCUCUGAGAGAUGGACGUAAGUCUCCCAGAAGAAGGAGGUGUUUCUGCAGGAAGCUUGAUACCGGCUUAUUUUCAGGUUUGUCUCAAUGGAUAAAAGAUGAAUGGCAAUUAGCUUGAACCACAGUCUUAUUUUUCCUCAGAUCCCAAUCUUAGGACGCAGGUGAUGCCCAAAGAGAGUAAGUGAAUCAGGCUCCUUCAUGGAGAUUAUUAAAAUCAACACAUACUGGGGAUGCUUAUGUUUAUUCUUCCCAGAAGCAAAUCAGGAAUUAGGGAAUAUCUAAUAAAGAAUAAAAAUUAAGUCUAGUCCUUUCGGAGCCCCCUUUAUUCCUAAAGUUUCUCAAAGAAAGGUCAGCGGCAUCCUGCCCUCUUCUGCGAUCACCUCUCAAACGGAGAUGGUGGCGGCGAAGGGCCGGUUGCCACCAGUCCUUGUGCGUUUUCUCAGGGGAGAGUGGAAUUUGGGCCUAGAACGAAGCAAUCAGGAAUGUAGUACACUCCUUUGUGUGUUUUUGAGUUUCUCUCUUAUGUCUCUCUUUUCAAAAGUGUGGCCCCUUGAGUUUCUUUGAAAAGUCUCUUUCUCUCCCUCUCUCUCUCUCUCACUCACACACACACACAUCAUUCCCUUGACCUCUAAGAGACCUUGAACAAGAUGAGCUGGGGCUGAGUUAAGGACUCUUUCAGCAAAGGCACAGAGAACAUAUGUGGGGGAGAACAUUUAAAAUCUGUUUCUUAGAGAGCCUACAACCACUGGCACCACCCAGAACUAGAAAAUCAGCCUAGAACAACAGCAAAGGUUAAUUGUUGGCCUCAGAAGCCUUUCAAGCUCCUCUAGCAUCCAGAUACUCUUCACAGCUCAUAGCCCUAAAAUUUCAAAAGAAUGUAUGUAUAUACAUAUAUAUGUAUAUGUAUGUAUAUAUAUGUACAUAUACAUGAGACUGAGUCACUUUUAUGUACAGUAGAAAUUGUCACAACGUUGUAAGCCAACUAUACUUUAAUAAAUAAAUAAAUUUCAGAGCAAGGAAGGAGGAAGCCGACCCUUUUCCAAACUUUCCAUUCCCAGAAUGUCCUUGGGAAAGAGAGAGGGACAAGAGGCUCCUUGCAGAGUCACUCUUGGGGAAAAAAAUCACUUGCCCGAGCAGAGGACAAUCUCGGAUUACAAAGCGGCGGUUUUAUGAAGGCUUAGUGCCAGGUAAGAGAGCAAGAGCCUGCCUGAGGCUGGAGCAGGGGGAGGGAGGACUGGACCAGCCUCGCCUCCCGUGACAGUUUCUCAGCACCGCGGACAGCACCCAUACCCAGCAAGGGGACCACAGGCUUGGAAGAGGACGGAAAGGCCAGAAGCCCAUCCUUUUACUCAGCAAAAGUCAGGAGAGAGAAGAGUCAAGAAAAAGUUAGUACAAAGGUCAAGAGGCAUGACUCUGACAAUUGUCCUGCUAACUACAGACUUUUAACACAUCUGGCUGAGUAAAGGAAAGACAACAUGGACAAGCGUGACAGGGUCUGCUUGGCAAUAACACCCAGUGUUUUGUGCCUUAUACAGAUGACAGGUGCUCUGUUUUGGUGAGUGAUGCACUCCCACAUGAUGCUAUUUGAGAUCAGAAGAUGUACCAUCUUUCAGUAGCACUGCUCCGGAGACUCCCAAUUCGAAUGUCAGAUUUUCCAUCAAGUUGAACCUACUUGGACAGACUCUUAAUCUCCCUAAGUAUCAAUUUCCUCCUUUGUAAAAUGAGGAAGAGGCAUGCCUACCUUAUGAGAUUGUCACAAAAAUCAAAUAGCAUGUUGUGUGUAUAGAUACCUCUCAAUCACUUUCAGUUGAAUUCUAACCAUUUUAAAUGUUUGUCAUGCUGGCAUAAAGCACAAAUGAACUCCCAUAAGAACUGGUUAUUAUUAUGGUUGUUUUGGUCCAGAAACAUGGUCCCAAUUGACCCAUUUUCCCAAAAAGACGGACAGUUGCGGAGGCGCCCUACGUGAAGAAUCUCUGGUUUACACAUGAGAAAAGAGUUUGACUAAAACAGAACUGCAGCUUUUCAACACAGUCCAAAUCUAUAUACGUAUACAUUAAAAGUCAUGAGCAAUAAAACAAUGAGAUGUACAUCAAAUUUUAAAUUAUAUCUUGAAAAAAAUAACUGUGGAGAUGGAAAAUUUCCUAUUUGAAGCUCAAGGCAAUAGAUUUGCUCUCCUUUCACCCUAUUUCUAAUAUCCCCUCACCACUGCAUGUUCUCUUUUUCCCGCUGGAGCUAUGGGAUUUCCAGCACAGUUUUAAAUCGUAACCUCAAAGAGCCAGCAUUCAUCUGCUGCUAAUGACACUUCUUUCCACAGGGAUUAUCAUGUUGUGCCAGUUCUACAAAAUUGUUAACAUAAAGGAAAUUGACCUGAAAAUCAUCUUGCUCUAGCUAUGUUGUUUUAUGGAGGAACCAACACAAGAAAACAGCUUCACUUUGCUGCCCAAUUUUAAGGUCACCUUGGGACGUGAGAGUUGGCAGGGGUUUUUUUGUUUGUUUUUUUUUGGGUUUUUUUUUUGUUGUUGUUGUUGUUGCUGUUGUUCUUUCCAAGGGCAGGAAGUAGAGAUCAAUUUUAAAAAUAAAAAUAGUUGUUGGGACUCUGGUCAAGCCAUUUCUCCCUCUGAACAUUUUGCUCCAAAGCUGACUGAGGAAGUAUAGCCAAAAUAGAAGGCCAAGUGGAAAGAGUCUCUCAACGACGUGGAUAUUACAAGAAAGCAUCCUGUUCCUCUAAGAGUAUUCCUCCAUCUCCACUCAUUAAAAGACUGUAAAAUAAAUGUCUCCAAAAUCU